rnacentral:rRNA from 1 species
AGCGCGCCCUUCGGGUGUAGCGGCGGUACGGGUGAGUAACGCGUGGGAAUAUGCCCUUCUCUAAGGGAUAGCCUCGGGAAACUGAGAGUAAUACCUUAUACGCCCUUCGGGGGAAAGAUUUAUCGGAGAAGGAUUAGCCCGCGUUAGAUUAGGUAGUUGGUGGGGUAAUGGCCUACCAAGCCUACGAUCUAUAGCUGGUUUGAGAGGAUGAUCAGCCACACUGGGGACUGAGACACGGCCCAGACUCCUACGGGAGGCAGCAGUAGGGAAUCUUAGACAAUGGGGGAAACCCUGAUCUAGCCAUGCCGCGUGUGUGAUGAAGGCCUUAGGGUCGUAAAGCACUUUCGCCAGAGAUGAUAAUGACAGUAUCUGGUAAAGAAACCCCGGCUAACUCCGUGCCAGCAGCCGCGGUAAUACGGAGGGGGUUAGCGUUGUUCGGAAUUACUGGGCGUAAAGCGUACGUAGGCGGAUUAGUAAGUUAGAGGUGAAAUCCCAGGGCUCAACCCUGGAACUGCCUUUAAUACUGCUAGUCUUGAGUUCGAGAGAGGUAAGUGGAAUUCCGAGUGUAGAGGUGAAAUUCGUAGAUAUUCGGAGGAACACCAGUGGCGAAGGCGGCUUACUGGCUCGAUACUGACGCUGAGGUACGAAAGUGUGGGGAGCAAACAGGAUUAGAUACCCUGGUAGUCCACACCGUAAACGAUGAAUGCCAGACGUCAGCAAGUAUACUUGUUGGUGUCACACUAACGGAUUAAGCAUCCGCUGGG